GCCCUGUUGGAGAUGGAGGCCAGUCAGAAGUGCCUGGGAGAACAGCAGGCAGCUGUGCAUGGUGGGAAGAGCUCCGCCCAGUCAGCCGAGAGCGGCAGCGUUGCCAUGACUCCCACCUACAUGGACAGCCCACGAAAGGUAUCUGUGGACCAAACAGCCACUCCUAUGUUGGACGGCACCAGUUUGGGCGUAUGCACAGGCCAAUCCAUGGACAGAGGCAACAGCCAGACCUUUGGGAACUCCCAGAACAUAGGAGAACAGGGCUACUCCUCCACAAACUCCAGUGACAGCAGCUCUCAGCAGCUGGUGGCAAGCUCCUUGACCUCAUCCUCCACCCUGACAGAGAUCCUGGAAGCCAUGAAGCACCCCUCGACAGGAGUCCAGCUGCUCUCUGAACAGAAGGGCCUCUCACCAUACUGCUUCAUCAGCGCGGAGGUGGUGCACUGGCUGGUGAACCACGUGGAGGGGAUCCAGACACAGGCGAUGGCCAUUGACAUCAUGCAGGGUCUUGAUGUGCUGUUUUGCAUAGCCUUUGCCGUAUACACUCUCGUCUCCCUGAGAAUACGAUUUCCUUAUUCAAAUAAUGAAAUGCUACUACAGCAGUUUAAAUGAAUGAGCUGAAGGUACAUGUAUCAACAUGGAUAAAUGUCAGAAGCAUGAUGUGGACUGGAAAACCAACUUACAAAAUGAUAUAAUAUUAUGCCCUUUAUUUAAAAACUUAAAAUCCCAAAAGAAUACCUUAUAUUCUCU
rnacentral:sRNA from 1 species